rnacentral:lncRNA from 1 species
UAAUUACCAGGUCUUACCAAAGGAUGGAGAGGUACCAGAGGGGACAUCCCAUGAAGACCACUGCUUCAGCCGGUCCCUCCGUUCGGGGUCCCUGACUUCCCGCAACAACCUAAGUCUCAUUACAGAAAACAUCUCUUCUCUGAGAGUAAUCAAGAUUCAAGUACCAGUGAACUAUCUUGGACCAGUAACCAGAAAAAGAAAUCCCUAAAAUCAUAUUCCAGUAGAAAGAAGACAAGAACCAGAAGUAAUUUGAGAAUCUUGCCAGUUUUCCCUCCCAGUAGUGGCAGUGGCCAUGAGAAAGACCAAGCUAAGCUUCUAUCACCAUCAGAGAAAGAAAUACCCGAGCAAAAUAACACCACAUCUCCAAAGACUUCUGAACAAAAAUUCCAAGAUAGUUUUGCUUUUUUGACUGCUGAAGAUUCUGCCCAGAAAACAGAGCUUCAAGAUCCUCACUCACUGAGUGAGCUCUCUUCCUUGAAGCACUCAGAAGAUGAAGAAAAACCUAAGAUUGUGAACCAAGAAUCACUAACAGAAAGUACUAGCUUGAAACAUAAGCUGAGAAACUUGGAAGACAAAGACAUACCAGAAGGUAGUUUUGCUAAGUCACAACAAUCAAGAUUGGAAGAAGAGGUUGCUCCGGGAUCCCCUUUCUCAAUAACAGAAGAAAGAGAGUUGCCAGAAGGAAUUUCCACUUCAUCCCUAGAAGUUGUGCCAGAGAACUUGAACGGUUCUGCCAUUCUCCCAACCUUUGAAAACUUCACUAAAAAACGGAAAAGAAAAUAUGAGCUUAGGUACAGAAAGCGUCCGUUUAAUUCAGAAAAUGCAAAGAAAGCACCGGAUUGCCUAAUAAAACUUUUAAACCAGAUGCAACUGUUCAGACUCAAUAAACUAGAGCGCUUUCAAAAUUUGGUUCUUCAAGAGUUGAGCAGUCUUAAGCAGGAUAUUCAGGCCCUGGAACACCUUGAGAAGGAGGUUCUGGAAUUCUGGGGGAAACAGUCUGCUGAUCUGCAAUCUUUCUGUGAUCUGCAAGUGCUGAGGUUCAAUUCAACUCAGACUUCAUAAGAAAGCCAAAGCCUGGUUUUAUGAUUGCAGCCCUCAGCCUGGGCUGCCUGAAGACGAAGAGAAAGAGCAAGGUUAUUGUUGGCUCAGGCCUUGUUAGCCAGACUUCGUGCUCUGUACGCAUUCAAUUUCCUCCCCUCCAAACAUCAUCCCUGGGAACUGCUGAGUUCAGAUAGAAUAUAUGUUGGUAGUUUGCAGUUGGGUUAUUAUCCAUUUGUUCAUAAAAAUUAACCUUUUGUAUUAAAAUUUGGUCAGAUAGUAUUAAUAGAAAGUUCAGGAUGUUAAACAACUUGGAGUGGUGUUGCUUUUUUUUUAUAAAAGUAAAAUGGACUUUUUUUUGUUUGAGAAAUGUCUUCAAGUUUUGUGUGAAUAAAACACUUU